rnacentral:lncRNA from 1 species
ACAAAAGUGCCUAUCUCAGCUGGAGAUCUCGCUGUUAUGAAUAAAGGAAGAGUUUGUGGUACAGUUUUGAGAUGUAAAGAGAAAAAGCUUCCCCGUGGUGCAAAUGUGUUGUAACCCUCAGGCGAGAAAAAAAUAUUGAAUUGUUGCUGGCAGUACAAUGUAAUUAUUGAGUUAGCGGCAGCUAUGUUUCUAAGCUUCUUAAGGUAAAAAUCACAUUAAUUUGGCCUUCUCCAAAGGACAUUCCAGGUUCUUAAAUGGAACUCGUUGAAAUAUUUUUCUCUAAUGAACCUAGCCAAUCAACAGCCAUUUCCACGUAAGAACGUAUUGGGUAAGUUGGCAGCAAAAGAGGAGGUGUGCCACUUUUGGGGCUGCCUGUAUUAGCCCAAGCCUGUGCUGCUGUGGGAUGUGUGCUCCAGACUCUUGAGGGGCAGGCAUUUGACCUAGGUGGUCCCUGAAUGGGAGGCAUAAUGGAAGCCACAGAGCUCUCCUCAGGAAAUCGAGGCUUACCUUUUCAUCACUUGAAGACCAGUGGUUACGUGAUUUGGACCCACCGAGGGACGUAGAAUGAUACCAGUUCAAAAGUAUCGGAUACCUGUGGAGCACUUUGCAAGAUAUUGCGGGAUUUUCGGGGCUUUCUAUAGAACUACACAGAAGUAUUGCUGAGUACUUAGCAAUGUGAAUUCCUGCAAUUUGCAGGAAUUUGCCAUGCUUUUCAGGUGAUCAUCCUAGGUAAGUGCUUCAUUUUUAUCUCAAUUGGUUUGAUUUUGUGCUUUCAUUAUAUUAUUGCAUAUAGGUUUUGCAUACAUGGGAUUUGCGUUUUUAACCUAUCUUUAAUCCCAUCUCUCUGAUGAGCACCUGACUCAGCCUAUCUAUAUCUUUAAUUGAUGCUGUCUUCAACUCUAUAUGCUAAAUUGCAAUUCCAUGCGCUACCUAAGAGAUAGACAGUUUAAUCAAUGCACAAGUUACUCUGCUUAUUUUAAAUAAAUGGCUUUCAGAUUUAGUAAACA